rnacentral:rRNA from 1 species
GAUGAACGCUGGCGGCGUGCCUAAUACAUGCAAGUCGAGCGAACGGACGAGAAGCUUGCUUCUCUGAUGUUAGCGGCGGACGGGUGAGUAACACGUGGAUAACCUACCUAUAAGACUGGGAUAACUUCGGGAAACCGGAGCUAAUACCGGAUAAUAUUUUGAACCGCAUGGUUCAAAAGUGAAAGACGGUCUUGCUGUCACUUAUAGAUGGAUCCGCGCUGCAUUAGCUAGUUGGUAAGGUAACGGCUUACCAAGGCAACGAUGCAUAGCCGACCUGAGAGGGUGAUCGGCCACACUGGAACUGAGACACGGUCCAGACUCCUACGGGAGGCAGCAGUAGGGAAUCUUCCGCAAAGGGCGAGAGCCUGACGGAGCAACGCCGCGUGAGUGAUGAAGGUCUUCGGAUCGUAAAACUCUGUAAUUAGGGAAGAACAUAUGUGUAAGUAACUGUGCACAUCUUGACGGUACCUAAUCAGAAAGCCACGGCUAACUACGUG